GGGCGGUUAGCUCAGCGGUAGAGCGCCUGCCUUACAAGCAGGACGUCACUGGUUCGAAUCCAGUACUGCCCA
rnacentral:tRNA from 26 species